AAUAAAUUUGGUGAAUUAACUCUAAGAAAGUCUUCUUUAUUAGAGGAUUUUCUCAGAAUAUUUUGUAUGCUAAUGUGUUUUAUGAACCUCAGGGGGCACUGCUCUUUGGCAUUUUCCAAGUUGUUUACCCACUCAACUCUUUUUCUUGUUGUCGUUUUUUCUUUUGUUUGUUUUUUGGUUCUGGGGUUUGAACCCAGGGGUGCUCUACAACUGAGCUAUCCCCAGCCCUUUUUGUUUUGAUUUUUUAUUUUGUGACAGGAUCUCAUGAAGCUGCCCAGGCUGGCCUUGAACUUUCCAUUCUCCUGCCUCAGCCUUCUGACUAGCUGGGAUGACAGGAGUGGCACCACCCAGGGCUUGACUCUGUUCUUGAUAGCCACAUCAUGACACUGCAUUGGAAUGGCUGGGGAAGCUUAGGUGUCCCACAGUUAUAAUGAGCCUGGUCCUUCUUCCCAGGCUGGCUUUCCAAAUACCUGUGCAUGGGCCUCAGGGAUAGUCUCCUCCCGUGUCUUCCUGACUUCUCCAUGGUGAGGUUCUCACCUUCCUCUGGAUCUCCUCUCUGGGGGCAGCUCCUCUGUGCCGGUGUUCCUCCUAAUGUGUG
rnacentral:lncRNA from 1 species